AUUUCGUCCAUAUAACAAAUAGAAAGGGGAAUACCCAGUGGACUCAUGCCUAGUGCAGUUGUAGGCAUGCACAACUUGUGGAAGGUGUUUUUUCCACAUUUCCUUCUCUUUGUCUGCCAGCGUCCUCAACAUCUGUAAAAGUGUUCGGUUGAACCUUUCCACUGGAUUACUUUGAGGAUGGUAAGGUGAUAUUUGUGAAUGGCCUAUUCAUGCAAACUGUUUGGAGUGUACGGAAGAGCUCAUUUUCAAACUCUCGACCCUGGUCAUGAUGCUUCACCAUGCUGAGAUACUCUCUCUUUGAUCUCUUGUCCCUGGGACACCAUGGCCGUCCAGAUAUCAGCGUCAUACAAACUUUGCGUUCCAUGCAGCUCCUCCGCCGGCCUAGUUAUAAUCAUAGAGGCUCUCGUCUGAGUCGUUCUACUGCCGGUGCUGGAGUCACUGCACUUUGGUCGAACCGCAGGUGCUCACUGCCUCAUACUUCUGGUUGCCGUGGAAUCGGCCAUGGUAACCUACGCUAUCCUGAGGUUCUCUCUCAAAAACCCGCGGCGAAUGUGUGCUGUAGCACUAUGCGACUUGCUCACUUCAACACGAGGUCAAUAAACAAUAAAACGGCACUUAUCACUGACACUAUCCGUGACAGGACAAUUGACAUUCUCUGUCUCAGUGAAACUUGGCAUAAAGACAAUGACUUCAGUCUUAAUUUAAACAUGUGUGCCCCAUCUGGAUAUAAAUAUAUUGACGUGCCUCGAGCUUCUGGUAAGGGUGGUGGCUUGGCUGCAAUAUUUGUGUCAAAUAUAUCACUUGAUGUUAUCGAUGCUCCUACUGUUUCAUCAUUUGAAUGUUUGGUUUUUAAAGUCAAUGGUGCUUCACCUGUUCUUGUGCUGCUCAUUUAUCAUCCACCAAAACCUAAUCCUUUAUCUUUUUCUGAGUUUACUGAGUUGCUGACACUUCUUAGUCCACUCUGUCCGUCUAUGGUCUUGACUGGUGAUGUCAAUUUCCAUAUUGAUAAUCCAAACUGUGUCAAAACUGCUACCUUUUUGGACAUUUUGGAUGGUUUUGACAGCAUGUUACUUUUCCGACCCAUAGGCUGGGCCAUAUAUUGGAUGUGGUAUGUUCUGCUGGUGUUGGUAUCCAAUCUCUGGAUAGUAUCGACAUGAGUAUAAGUGACCAUAGACUUAUUACUUUUGACAUAAAUGUUAUGUCUUCACGAUCCAUUUCUGAGUGCACUAUCAAAUUUCGUAACAUCAAGCACAUGGACUUCACUCUUUUUUCGACUUUUGUCUCUGG
ensembl:lncRNA